AGAGUUUGAUCCUGGCUCAGGAUGAACGCUAGCGGGAGGCCUAACACAUGCAAGCCGAGCGGUAGAGAUUCUUCGGAAUCUUGAGAGCGGCGCACGGGUGCGGAACACGUGUGCAACCUACCUUUAUCAGGGGGAUAGCCUUUCGAAAGGAAGAUUAAUACCCCUUAAUAUAAACCAAGGCAUCUUGAUUUAUUGAAAACUCCGGUGGAUAGAGAUGGGCACGCGCAAGAUUAGAUAGUUGGUAGGGUAACGGCCUACCAAGUCAGUGAUCUUUAGGGGGCCUGAGAGGGUGAUCCCCCACACUGGUACUGAGACACGGACCAGACUCCUACGGGAGGCAGCAGUGAGGAAUAUUGGACAAUGGGUUAGCGCCUGAUCCAGCCAUCCCGCGUGAAGGACGACGGCCCUAUGGGUUGUAAACUUCUUUUGUAUAGGGAUAAACCUUUCCACGUGUGGAAAGCUGAAGGUACUAUACGAAUAAGCACCGGCUAACUCCGUGCCAGCAGCCGCGGUAAUACGGAGGGUGCAAGCGUUAUCCGGAUUUAUUGGGUUUAAAGGGUCCGUAGGCGGAUCUGUAAGUCAGUGGUGAAAUCUCAUAGCUUAACUAUGAAACUGCCAUUGAUACUGCAGGUCUUGAGUAAAGUAGAAGUGGCUGGAAUAAGUAGUG
rnacentral:rRNA from 1 species